rnacentral:rRNA from 1 species
UAGGGGGCAAGCGUUAUCCGGAUUUACUGGGUGUAAAGGGAGCGUAGGCGGUUUAGCAAGUCAGAAGUGAAAGCCCGCAGCUCAACUGGGGGACUGCUUUUGAAACUGUUAAACUAGAUUGCAGGAGAGGUAAGUGGAAUUCCUAGUGUAGCGGUGAAAUGCGUAGAUAUUAGGAGGAACACCAGUGGCGAAGGCGGCUUACUGGACUGUAAAUGACGCUGAGGCUCGAAAGCGUGGGGAGCAAA